CUUUGAAGAAUGUAUCUUUGCGCUUGGGGCAAUGACGCAGCUAGUGAGGUACUAACCGAGGCGCGUCAAUUGCUGGUUGAAAACUAUUUCCAAACCCCCUCCUUGGCCUUGGUUCUGCCUUGUGCCAUCGAGAAUUUCUGGAAGGGCUCCCUCUAACCCAGGGUAAAGCCCUACAAACUUCUUUCUUUUUGCUUAAAGAAAACUUUUUCUCGUCACUUGUGGCUAAUUUUUGGAGGGUCGGUCUUUUUGGACUUUUGUCCUUUUGGACCGACCCGAACAGGUCUAGUUUAAGGUUUAACCGGUCUACAAGACUACAGCUGAUUACAAAUCAAUAACUGCAGCAGGAUGCCUAAACAAAUUUAACUGAACUACAGAUAUUUUGAGAGAACAAAUCUGUACCUGGAAUACCAGUUUUCUAAAAUGAACCGUAACUUGGAAAAAUGGUGAAAACUGGUAUAUAGUUCUAAUCUUCAUCUUCACCGGUGCAGUUUGAAAUAAAAAAAGCAUAGCUCUAGUGCACGGUGGCAAUGUGUCAUGUAUGCUUCAAACUGGUUUCUGCAUGCAUUCACUUGAAAAAUUUUAUAGGCAAUUAUUGGUAUUUUUUUUUUGCGGGUAUCAAGCCUUGAAUGUCGAAGAAUUGGUAAAUGUAUGUCCUCCCUGACCUGUGAUUCAGCAUAGACCUUAGUGAUUUCUUGGUACUUGACAAAUGAUAUUACUGCUUUACUGUUAUUUCCUUGUUAUCUAGGAUCCCAACGGAUCGGAUGACUUAAAAACAUGUCAGCCAUACAAUAUAUGUUCUUUUGGAUUUUCAAGUAUACAUAUACUAAGGUACCAUAUAUCAUUGGCUAAUUUGAAGUACUAUAAUUUUCUCAUAAUGAUAUUUAGCAUCUCAAAACUUGGUCUCUGCCCUGGAAAUAGGAAAAAUCAACCUAUACAGAUGGAGAUCAUACAGGGUACAAAAAGAAGUAUACAGUAGGAUUUCGUCCUAAUGGGAAAACAAAGAGAAUUAUAGAGCGUUAACUAUUUCUGCGUUCUUGAUCUCAGAGGAGGCAGGACACUUUGUUUUGUGGAUGAAAAAUGACUGCUUGAAGCAAUCCCUGGUACGUGCACCAUCUACGGCUACACAGAGGAAAUGAUCGAAUUUUUGUUCCUUUAAUAUUUUUUCACACUUAAUCCAAAGCGGUCUAGUUCUUUUGUUUGGAAAAAGGAAAAUAAGAACUUAGACUAAGCACAUGUGCCCAGGCACCACCACCAGAUGUUUCUACCCAUAAAUUUGGCUAUGAAAAGAAUGGCUAAGAAUGUAAAAAGAAAUUCUACUCUAUCUGAAACCGGCUCAUAAUAAAUUCUACUCUACCAGAAAACAACUCAUAAUAUAAGCCGGAACAAAUUUAAAGAAUUUAUUAUAGUGAGGAGAAUAGGACUGCUUGCCAUUGUUUAACACAAACUGUUGAUACAUUCACAUAGAUGAUAGGUAGCCAGGUUUCUUAUCCCACAUUGUGAACACAAGGAGAGCAUGACUACGAAAUGUCUAUAAAAAACAACUGUCUGCGCAGUGAUUAGAGCACGCAGCCAUGUGAUGAGCACAAAGCGAACUAUUCUUUCGCCUUUUACUAAAGAAUACCGUGUGCUCGUCACUGACAGUGGCAUACGCCUAUUUUUGGAGGGUUUGUCCUUUUGGAUCAAACCCUACAAUUCUAGUUCAAGUUUCUCCUACAUCAUGUUUAUUCUGAUAAAUUCUUAAUUAGAUGGAAAAGCUACAUUUCGUGUUGUAACGAGGAUGUGGGAAUUCUAUAUGUGGCUGGAAAUCAAGUAGAAAACUAUACCACAUCGAGAUAAACUGACAAACAUUGUUUGCUUUUAAAGGUGUUGUAAUACACUACUUGUCACGACCUUACUUGAACAGGAUCUGUUCUAUAGGAUCGUACCUCUGCAUCCUUGAUUUCUAAGGAAGCAGGUCACCAAGUCUGGUGGAUGACAAAAGACUGCUUGACCAGAGCGUGAUUAACAGCUCUUCCCGGUCAGUGCGGCUGGGGUGGUCAUGCAGUUGUCUGACAGACCCUUAACUUUUUUUUUGGUUCUUCAUUUAAGAAUGAUCUCACACUGCAUUAGUACAUUACUGCAUUGUGGUAGUGUAAUUGACAGAGGCUUUAGUUUCUUUUUUUGGGGGUAGAUAGUGGAACAUGUAACUGGGAAACAAGUGCUUUUACGCUAUCAUACCAGGAGUUGCAUACUCAUCAGCAAUUCUCUUGGUUGUAUUGUAUAUGAGUUACCUUCACUAACAAGAAUUUGAGUUCAUUCCUAAUAUAUUUCCACUUUCAGUGGCUCUGAUCUCUAUGAGGAUUUAUUUUUACAGAGAUAUUUAUGGAAGAAGGAGAUGCUGAAUCUUAAGCAUAUCAAGUCAAUUGCAUAAAUUCAAACUUAUUAAAAGAAGUUGAAAUUAAAUAAAGAUUUUCAUACUUAUGUUCUGGUGAGACACAAUAAAUACUUUAGUACCUUGUGCAUAUGUGAUCUGUUCAUUCAGUCUGUAGAGGCACAUACAAGAUUAUUUCAAAGCCGCCUAUUCUGUGAUAAAUAUAGAGAGGAGUUGAUCUAAUCCGGAUAUUGACCCCCACAUGACUCCUUGUCCACUUGUAUCAACUAAGACGAUAUGUACAAAUAAAUCUUAAAAUAUCAAGACACAGAAAUGAGUAUUGAAGUUACCAAUACUUUGAACACUUAUCAUAUAUGGCCUUGAAGAGUUGAAAUAUAUAUGUGGUCAGAAGGUGCAGUUGAUAAAAAGUUAAUUUCUGAGCUGAUAGAUGUUAGCUAGGCAGUGGAUGUACAACAUGUUAUUAUGCUGGUUUCAUGAUGCACUUGAACGUUCAAGUGCACUGCUGCAGCAGAGCGAAAGGGAAGGUGUGUGUUUUGUUAUCUAAGUAACCUGUUUUUGUCCCACAUCAUAUCCAUAAACUAAUUCCUGAUGUCAGUUGUAUAUAUAAACCACGCUGGCCCUUGAUGAAAAGCAUACCUUUCUCGGCCUUUUGGCUAAGAUCAAGUGUAGUAUCUGUUCUUAUCAGUUUAAUAUCUGAUAUGUGGGCCAUUGGCUCACACGAUAUUAAAUUUAUUUUUUGAGGGGGAGGUCCCGUCACAAUAGCUUGCUAUUGGGGGCUUCGCGAGUCGCCUAAGCGUUGCACUACUGCGUUGGCCUGGCUCACCCCACCAAAUUUGAUCAAGUAUUUUUGGUUUGCACCUUAAGGUCAUCUAAAUUUUUAAUUCCGAUGAAAUUCAAAUUCUAUAGGAACAUUAUGUCAUUAUCGUGUAAUCUAUGGAUCUAAAUUAAGAUUUAAGAGCAUGGUUUCAGACCAUUUUAACUGAAGAUCAAAUAUAUAGUGGCUAGUAUGCAACAGCGAAAAAUAAGAUCGAAAAGAUCAUGACAAUGAUCGAAAGAUACUGCCGGUUUAAUCAAACAAACGUCCAAGGAAAGGAAGGAGAAGUUAACUGAUACUGGGGAGAUGAAAAAAAGGGAAUACAACGUUAUAACAAAACUGCUGGUGAUUAUAGUACCAAGAGGCUCUCAACUAGGAGCAUCGAUGAAGUGCUCUCUAUUCGGUGAAUUGCAAAUAAUUACAUAUGAGCUGAGAUAGUGAGAUAUAACAAAAAAAGCCGUAAGACAUCUCCAAAAGUCUUCUAAUUGCUCUCAAGUAUAAUAUAAAAAUAUAUGCCGCUUAGAAAGAUGGUACACAUUUUAGAGAGAGGAAAAAGUGAUGGAUGAGUAAAAGAGAACGAAUUUUUUAUCAUAAAAAAUAAGUUUUAAGUCAUGCGGAGCUCCUAAAGCUAAAAGAGAGGAAAGCUCUUAACUUUAUAAAAGGACUCUAAGAAUGAGCUUUAUUUGAGCCAAGACACUUAAUUUUCCAAGUUAAAAGAAUAAACAGCUCGGCUCAUAUAUAGAUACUUGUAGACCACUUAAAUCCUCUUCGAGGCAUCAAAUCAUGUGCUCCCCAAAGCAAAAGAAAAAACUCUAAAUCAUAUUAAACAAGUCUUGGACAUGCCAAUCCUAAGAAUAGUGAUAGGUGAAGGUACUACUGACCUAAACUUACAAUCUGAUAACAAUAUAUGAAUCAAUAAACAAAAUCAAAUAAUAGACCUUUCUCCCUGUUAUUCCAAGUAAGAUGCCAUGUGUUCAAACAUAAAUAUUUAUAUUCAGAAGCCGGUGAAUUAAGCAGGAGCUAUUUCUUCACCAAUGCUCUCUAGUCCCGGAUGCCAGUUAUCAAGAGCAAUAAGUCUCUUGGGAUGUUGUCCUCCUCCCCUCGUACUAUUAUCGUUGCUCCUCGUCUCUGACUCUGAAAAAGUUAAGUUGCUUGCCAGUUUCUCCUUGCUGGAUUCUUCAUUGUUGUUUCCUUUUAACUUUUUCCCACUUCUCAAACAUGCACAGUAACUAUCAUCUGAUGUUACCCCGUUUGAAGUAUUCGAGGGCUUGAACUUCCAACAAGUAGUGCGGAAGCUAUCAACUUCUCCAGUUAAACCAUUAUUAUUUUGAUUAACAUCUUGAUUAUGAGAAGUAUUAUACUUCAAAGACAAUUUUUGAAGCCGUCUUAUGGUACUUACUGGCACCACGUAGAAUUUCUGACCAGGCAUCAACGUAGUGUCUGGUGCAACAAUGGCCCAAGGUUGUUGGAAAAUAUUGGGAUGUGCAACACAGCAUCUUGGAUUCCGGUUAAUUAUCUCAGCAGCCAGGACCGGCCUAUCGUGAAGCUCUGCAUGGCCACCAGGAUGAACAAUCUUCAGUACCUGUUUUGUGCUGUUGGUAUAAAGCCAGCUUGAGAAGCCCAUUGUCUUCUUUCUGGAGAGAUCAAUGCCUGUCUUUAUAAAUUUAUAUUUCUGUGAUAAUAACUAAGUAAAACUUGGUAUGUUCAAUAAAACCGCCCACAUAAGUUCAGUAAUUGGUUUGUUUCAAGUAAAUCUUGGUAAUAACGGACCAACUAUGCUAGGUUGGAAUAUUGGACAUCCAACUUGUAGUCUUGUGCAGUAUGCUACUAUAUUAUAUUCAACCAAGGUUCUCGAGAAAAGCAUCCCUGUGUUUAAAAAACAAUAUAGAAUUAUUAUUUUUUAGUUGAAGAAAGAAGUACAAUGAAGUUCUUUGGCUUUCGAAUUAAUUCAAACCAACCGACCAGCAAGUUAGAGGCACUAAAAUUACAAACAAAAAUUACAAUUAUCAUGGUUUAAGAAAAAAGAAUUAACCUUCAAGAACACAGUUGCAGAAGACCUGAGCCUGUGGAGAUCUUGCCGCAAUUCUGCUAAAAUGCAAAAACUACAUUAACAAAUAUGACAACUUUGCAAUACAAAAGGGCAGAGAAAUUAAAAACUUAAUAUAAUAACUAUUUAAAAUUCCUAGGAAAAUCAAUUACAAUUAUUUGAAAAUGCACUCAUGAAAGAAAUUUAACAGAAGAGAAAGAAAGAGAUGUGCAUAAUGUUUUGGAUGGUAACUUCUUGACAUUCUUAAAUUGCAUCACUUUGGAACAACUUUGGAUGGUAGGGAUGCCGCUUCUGGUGCACAUCCCUCUGCCAAAUAAAUGAUUUUUGAGAUUACAAUGCAAUAUUGCUCAAGAUUGUUCAUUUUGUCAGCCAAUAUCCGCGGAACACAAUUAAAUUACGUAUGAAUAUCAAUAUACAAUGAGGAGAAGCACCUAAUAAUUUAAGACUUCAUUCCAGACUUCUGUUUACCGAGUAAAAAGGUUAGAGGUGACAUAGUUUUACCCUAUGUUCAGAGAACUUUUUCCUUUGUUUACUAAGCAUGUAUGUGUACUGUGAAAAAACUUGGGAUCUAUUAUCAGCAGUUUCAACAAGAUUUCAAAAGCUGGCAACUAAAAGUCCGCUGGAGCCUGGAAAGGUUACAUAGAACAUUCAAGUCUUACACCUAAAUAUCCCACAUAGAUACAUAUCUAAAAAACAUCAUGCUUAUAUUUCAUGGCUGCCUGACAUCCUUUUGUCCCUUCGGGGACAUCCGAUAAAAUUGGAACGAUACAGAGAAGAUUAGCAUGGCCCCUGCGCAAGGAUGACACGCACAAAUCGAGAAAUGGUCCAAAUUUUU